UGCAAAUUGAGAUUAUUUUUUCAUCAACGACCUACAUAAACACAUAAUUUUUUUGAUGACGGGGAACCCGCAGAUGCUACUCUUCGAAUGUGCAUUGAAUAAACUCCCGAGCUAACACAACAGUGCAAACCACACCAGCCAGAUAAAUCACACUAGGCAAGCCUUGUGUGAUAGGCUCAACCGAGAAAUAGUUGGUUUCAUAUAUAUGUGGUGGUGAGACAAACUCUGACACUUUAUUUGCUUUGAUAUCUUGUUGAAUAACCUUGUAUACGAACUUUUAAUCAUAAGAGAAAGGGCAUCAAUUGCUUCCACGACUCAAAUGAUUAUGCUAUCUUCGUCAUUACAUCAUGGCAAAAAAACCAACCAUUCUUGUAUCCCCAUAAUUCUAAUUAUGGGGAUAAUUUACAAUUAUGCAAUUUCACCCCAUGUUCAACGUUCUAAAAUUCAGUAGCCACAAGUUUGGCAUGUGAGUGUUGCUUCUCUAUAAUUCGCACGAGGAGUCUAGUCAUGUUUGUACUUUGUUUGCAAUUAAAUCGUGCAAAUUUUUGACAUGUUGUAGUUACAAUAGUCCUCCUUGUGGUGUCACUUCGUGCUUCAAACGACUAGAGUUCAUUGUAUUUAAAUCUUUUUUGCAAGAUUUUUAAAUUCCUUGAUUUUGACAUAUCACUAGAAACUGC
rnacentral:lncRNA from 1 species